GCAACGUUUUAAAUACAUGGGAUAUAGGCCUAUGCCUAGCCGUAUCGGUUGCAAGAUGUAGCAAAGCGAAAGCUAGCUUGAAGCGAGGUCGUCCUCGAAUGACUCUUUACAGAUUCUGUUAGGAAAAGAAGAAAAAGUCAACGACGAGAUAACUGAUGGUAUCCGAAGGCAUACCACUACCACCAGAAAGAAAGAAAAGGCGGCGAAUCCAUGCUGGCUGAUAGUUAUGGAUUUCUGUAAGACAGCGUGGCUCUGAUGAAAGCAAGAUUAAUCAUAGACAACGAAGAUGCAAAUCCAGACAGGCCUUUACCAGCCGUUUACGAGCAGCAAAAAGCAUGUGACCGGAUAUUACUCAGUUCUAAUUUCUUCAAGAACAUUCCCAGAUACAUAAAUUUCAGCUAUACACCUUUCCAAGCACAAAAUCGUCUUGCAGCCUUGGACUUGCAGAUGUACUAAGGAAGAGCCCAGCAAUGUAAUGCAGAGGACAACCCAAUGUAGUACAAGCGCUUCAACAAAACCUUGGAUAACUGGUCUGCAGAGAAGGUGUUAGUAGCCAAAUGUUGAUUAGAGAAAUAAAGGUUAUGAUUAUUAUUGAUAGCAAUAUCAUCUACAGGAAAAAUGAAAUGAAAGCAAAUGAUCUCUGAUGAAUUCAACAAACCAUUGCAAAGGUACACCCACCACCUAUGGAGGAUUUGGUAAUUUUGAGUCCAGAUUUUCAGAACAAUGACUGUAAACAAGGCCUAAAAUGACUUGUUUUUGUUUAUACUGUAUAGUCGGCAUGUGCUACAUAUGUUUAUGGGGAAAUAAAUUCCGAUUUUGAAAAAUAGUGUUACAAUAUCGGUCCCGGAGUUUUGCUUGUCUAAAGAAGAGGUAAAUAAUUUGCUAAACAAAAAGGUACUCUUGUAACAGUGGAUUAUAAUGAUGAAUGUAAAAAUGGUUCUGACUGGUAAAAUAACAAUGAGGCUGAAUACUGUAUGUAAUCAGCUUCCAGCUGCUACAUUAGCCUUGAUUUGUAUAGUGUAACAUCAGGUUUGUCCAGAUAUCAGAAAUACGGUAGAUAAUGCUGCUCCAGAUUCAGAAGUGCAAUGUUCAAGGAUGAAAUGUCAAUGUAAAGUAGGCAAGGCCUAUACAACACACACUAGGGCACCUCCGUCAACAAAGAAUGUAUAAUACAAAAGGACAUCAACAAAGUAAUGUAAACAAAAUAUAACUGAUUGGUUGAUGAUUUAUUCAGUAGCAACAGACGAACUGGCAAUCGUGUCCAGCUCUGAACAAAACCUGAACUAAACUGUUAUAAAACUGUUGUAAAAACAGUCAAGACGUAAUCACUGUAAAACUAUUACUACUGGUUAUUAACAAUAUUAUAUAAUAUGCACUUCACUUUAAGUUAGCUAUGGCAAGUACAAAUGCGCACAACUGAUACAUGACUAGAAGAAGUAGAUUUCACGAUAUGUGCACGCACAAUACUUGAUUAUUAAAUAAUAUCAAUGUUACACUAUAUAGCUUUAUUAUACAUUAAGAUGAAACCCUUAAUAUGUACCUGUUGGAGACGGAAAUUCAUCCCGAAUCCUCUAAACGCAAAAUGAGGGAAUAAUCCAUCUAUCCCCCUAAUCAGAUACUGGUGCCUCUAAUAAGUAAAUGGACAGUAGCUGUGAUGGCGGUUUGAUUAUUCAGCUCUUCUGGUUCCAAUUCUGCAAGCUGUCGAAAAUCCUGCUUCAUGGUUCUGGACAAUGACAGCUGCAUCUCAUCAAAAAACGUACAGUAGACUGCCAUUGUCUGAAAUUAAAAAGUAUCAAUAUUCUUGUAACUACUAUGUACUGAACUGUAUGUUUAUCAUAUUAAAAGUUUAUACAAUAUUAUAAAAUAUGAACUGAAAAUAUAUACUGAAUCUUGUCUCUUA
rnacentral:lncRNA from 1 species